rnacentral:rRNA from 1 species
GACGAACGCUGGCGGCGUGCUUAACACAUGCGAGUCGUACGGUAAGGCCCUUUCGGGGGUACACGAGUGGCGAACGGGUGAGUAACACGUGAGUAACCUGCCCACAACUUUGGGAUAACGCUAGGAAACUGGUGCUAAUACUGGAUAUGUGCUCCUGCUGCAUGGUGGGGGUUGGAAAGCUCCGGCGGUUGUGGAUGGACUCGCGGCCUAUCAGCUUGUUGGUGGGGUAGUGGCCUACCAAGGCGGCGACGGGUAGCCGGCCUGAGAGGGUGACCGGCCACAUUGGGACUGAGAGAGGGCCCAGACCCCACCGGGGGGCAGCAGGGGGGAAUAUUGCACAAUGGGCGCAAGCCUGAUGCAGCAACGCCGCGUGCGGGAUGACGGCCUUCGGGUUGUAAACCGCUUUCAGCAGGGACGAAGCUUUUUUGGCCGGAACCUGCAAAAGAAGCACCGGCAAACUCGGG